CGCGUAGGCGGCCAAUUAAGUCAAAUGUGAAAUCCCCGAGCUUAACUUGGGAAUUGCAUUCGAUACUGGUUGGCUAGAGUGUGGGAGAGGAUGGUAGAAUUCCAGGUGUAGCGGUGAAAUGCGUAGAGAUCUGGAGGAAUACCGAUGGCGAAGGCAGCCAUCUGGCCUAACACUGACGUUGAGGGACGAAAGUGUAGGGAGCAAACAGGAUUAGAUACCCGCGUA
rnacentral:rRNA from 1 species